UACGAGGAUUAUUUUUCCUCGUUAAAUUUCCUCGUUAAAAUUACGUUUUCUUGUAGUGUGAGGUUUCUAACUUCGGACAGACACCGAAUCGAAGGAUUUAAGUAGACUCAAAUUAUCAAUAAUCACAAAGAGAAAAUAAAUGUAAAAUAUAUAAGGCCAUCAUCAGUAAGGCAUCUUGGUGGACUUAUUAAUAAAAAUAAAAAUAGAAAAUAGAAAAUGGAAAAUGGAACGAAAAAGAAGAAAAUAGUCUUUUUUGAAGGAAGAGAAGAAAGCAUCUAUCAUAGGAGAGACUUUAUCAAAGUGAUGGAAAACUCAUUCGCCAAAUGUUACCUGUCUACUUGUUAUUAUUUAAAAUUAUUUGUUAGAAACUCAACCAACUUUUACAUGCAAAUGCUCUAAAAGCAAUUCCAUUAGAAGUUUCUCAACAUUUUUUUAAAUAUAUUUAAAGAAACUUUUGCUAAGAAACCCCAUUAGGAUUGGUUAUUGGUGGAACGGUCUUUAGUUUUCUGUAAGUUGUAUUAGAAAACCUACACAAUAAAUCUAGUCUCUCAAUAUAAUUCUACACAAUAAAUGACAAACAAUACAAAAAAGGUAUCUCACUGGGAUAUUCAAUUUUCUUUUGAGAAAUCGAUUACACAUGUCAUUGUAUAAUUGUCGUGCUUUCCCUUUAAUUUAAAAUUUGGCUAAAUACUUAAUUUAAUAGAAAAGAUAUUUAUUAUACAAUUAUUUGCAAAGUGAUUUUUUGCUAUGAACUCUCACAUUUUAAAGUGGUUAAAAUUGGUAAUACUCUUGACAAAUAAUUAGCUUAAUCAUUAGUUUUACAAUAAAAAUAAAAAUCAACAAAAAAACAGAAACGUGUUAUAAGAAACAAAUAUAAUUAGUGUAUAUCACAAUGCUCCUGCUGAUGUAAUAAUGUCAUACAUAUUUUAAUGAUUUUUUUUACAAAAUUAUAUUUUUAGGAUAAACAUGUUUUACAGUUUUUAUUUUCAAUAUGUUCUCACAAACCUAAUUUUUAAUUACUUCUUUUUAUUAAGUUAAAAACAAAGAGGUGUCAUUAAAUACCAAUAUAAAAGAUUCAAAAAAUAUAUAUUUAAAAAUACAAGAUAAUUCUUAUAUAUAUUGUGUUGUUAUCUGGAAAUAAUAUUUUGUAUGAUAAAGUUAAAAAAUAAGAUGUAAAAUAAUUAUAAUUAAAUAUUAAGUAAGCAAAAACAUUUGUGAAAGGAUAUUUUAUAAAUAUUAUUAAUAUGAAAGUGUUUUUAAAAUUGUAACACAAUAAAAAGCAUAUAUAUUUUGAUGAAAUUUUUUGUCAUAUAUUAUUAUAAUGAUUUUUGAAUUAAUUAAACAUAAACUAACAAAUAUUCAUAAUAAAUUAUACAUGUGCGGACAAAAUAUCUAGUUAAUAUUAUAUAUGAUUAAAUAUUCCCAAGAGUUUCUAACCGGUGCUCACGUUCUUACUAGCUAAACCUAUAACUAGUCGGAAAAAAAAUGACAAACCAACUAAAUUUUAAGUAUUUAUAUUUUACCAAAAAAUAUCUAUAUAUAAUCAAAAUAAAAAGGCUAGAGAGUAUGAUGAUAAACACAUACCCAUAAGUUUAAUACAAUAAACAAAAUUUUGUACAGUAUUCACCUAUUAAUUUGACGUAACGAUGAUUAAGCUUGUGAACAAAAUCAUCAGGCGUGUCUCCUCUUUUAAAGGAAUGGGCUAUCAAUCCUAUGAUGGAGCCAUGAGUAUUUGGUUUGCUACUAGCUAUAGAAGUGUGUUUUGAUUAAGAUCCCCACAAUUAUUUCCAAAGGCUCGUUCAUUGUAAAAAUGAUUUUCUUAGUUUAAAUAAUUUUUAACAUUCUUUCCAAAUAAAUUGAUGAUAUACCUCACGGAUACUAUUUUAAGGGGCACAAGUACAACUCAUAACUUAUACACAACAAAAACUGAUCAAUAAUAUCCACACAAAAUUACAAAAUUUCCAACAAAAUAAUAGUAAUAUUAUUCUUCGAAUAAAAAGAAAUAAUUAAGAUUGACAGCGGUUUGAGCUUAGAGAGGAACCCAAUCACUGUGCAAGCAUAUGACGACCGUAUAUCGACAGUGGGUUUAAUGGUUGAUGAUUGGGACUUAUUAAACUCUCAAGUGGGACACUUGAUUCUCA